UACCUACCCCUUCCUAAUUAACAAAUUCACAAGACGACGCUCAGAAGACUUCUCCCUCUCCGGCCUCCGCCGGUCCCAUCGCUCUCAGACCACCACCGACCAUCGUCUAUCGCUCACCGCCCACCGUCCACCGUAUUUAGUUUCCUCCCACCGCCCACCACAUCCGACAGUAUCGGUCUCCGUACUCGGUGGUUCUUCCUCCUCCCUUCGAACCGGGUGCGGAAUUCCUCCCUCCGGUGGUUCUGCCUUCUCGCUAUUCCGGUCUCCAUACCCGGCUUCUCCGGCAGAAGGCAGUAGCGACUCCAGUUCUCCUAUCUCCGUUGCUCUAGCAAUUGGAGCAAGCCAUUGAAUAUUUGAAACAGCUUCAACUGUAAGUGCAGGUAUUGCGAGCUUGACAAAUUUGAACUCACAAGGUCUUCAAGUUCUUCUUGCGUUGCUAAGGUUUAUGAAAAUAUGCAUGAUUGUUUACAAGCUGAAAGAAUUGUGAUGGAAGCUAAACUGCAAGCUGAAAGAAUUGAGAUGGACGCAAUUGUGAUAGAAGCUAAACUGCAAGCUGAAAGAAUUGAGAUGGACGCUAAACUACAAGCUGAAAGAAUUGAGAUGGACGC